rnacentral:ncRNA from 2 species
AAUCACGAGUUCCGGACGAAAGCCCUGGCUGUCCGGACAGCAACCCUCUCACCGUAGUGGGGUGCUCCAGGUGAUGAUUCGGCCCGGUGUCACAACCGUCCCGGGCAAGUACGGUGC